rnacentral:rRNA from 1 species
GACGAACGCUGGCGGCGUGCUUAACACAUGCAAGUCGAACGGUAAGGCCCUUCGGGGUACACGAGUGGCGAACGGGUGAGUAACACAUGGGUGAUCUGCCCUGCACUUCGGGAUAAGCCUGGGAAACUGGGUCUAAUACCGGAUAGGACCACUGCCUGCAUGGGUGGUGGUGGAAAGCUUUUGCGGUGUGGGAUGGGCCCGCAGCCUAUCAGCUUGUUGGUGGGGUGAUGGCCUACCAAGGCGACGACGGGUAGCCGGCCUGAGAGGGUGACCGGCCACACUGGGACUGAGAUACGGCCCAGACUCCUACGGGAGGCAGCAGUGGGGAAUAUUGCACAAUGGGCGCAAGCCUGAUGCAGCGACGCCGCGUGAGGGAUGACGGCCUUCGGGUUGUAAACCUCUUUCAGCACCGACGAAGCGCAAGUGACGGUAGGUGCAGAAGAAGGACCGGCCAACUACGUGCCAGCAGCCGCCGUAA